rnacentral:rRNA from 1 species
UACGUAGGGGGCGAGCGUUGUCCGGAAUUAUUGGGCGUAAAGGGCUCGUAGGCGGUCUGUCGCGUCGGGAGUGAAAACCCAGGGCUUAACCCUGAGCCUGCUUCCGAUACGGGCAGACUAGAGGUAUGCAGGGGAGAACGGAAUUCCUGGUGUAGCGGUGAAAUGCGCAGAUAUCAGGAGGAACACCGGUGGCGAAGGCGGUUCUCUGGGCAUUACCUGACGCUGAGGAGCGAAAGUGUGGGGAGCGAACAGG